AUAAACUUACACUGACUCACUCUACAGAAGGUCCAGAAUAAUGCUGUAUAACAUUACCCUGCAGAAGGGAUAAACAAAACUAAAGUUAACCACAGUUUAAAUUUUGAAAAUAAAAACUCAGCCCCAACAUUACUAUUAACUGCCACCACAACUUGAUGGCUAAAGUCUAAGUCGAGAUAAAUAUAGCAACAAUGGCCGGCUCCAGAAGAACCAUCUCAGCAUCCAUGUACAUACACUUGAAUUCCCAGCAAUCCCCCAAUUGAUCGCUAGACUGACGAUCUGCCUAUUAUACAGCUUGCUCUUUACUAGAAAGUUGUUUUGGUUUGCCACCCUCCUUUUCCACUCCAUUGCUCUCAUAGUAAUCAUCCAACGCCCAUUGAUACUUCGACUGAUUCAGCCCUAACCAGUCCGCUAAAUACUCAUCCAAGCUCGAAUGCACAUCUUGGACUUUGGCAACGGCAUCACGGAAGAAUCCGGCCAGAGAUCCCGAUCCAGACCUAG
rnacentral:misc_RNA from 1 species